UUUAACUUGGCAGAAAUUAAUGCUUUUGGUUUAGAACCAAUUUAUACGAUAUAAUCGUAGUUGGAA
rnacentral:tRNA from 1 species